GAAAUUCGAAUUAUACGUUUCAUGGUAGAUUUAAUUUAUCUAAUAACAAUUUGUAUGCCCUUAUCUGGCUUUCUAGAGCAAAAACCGAGUCAGUUAUUUUUCACAGACCCAGUUGGCAAUCCAACAAAAUGCGUUUGAUUUUACUAAUCGUCGUUCUAUUUUAUAUGCAGAAUGCAAUCUAUGCAGCGCCAAAAAGGGAUGAGAGAGGUAUAUUCGAUAAUAUUUUGUCAGCCGUAAUGGGCAAAGUCGAAAACAUUGCACACCAUACUGGCAGCAUUAGUUCUUUUCUGGCAAAGCUCGGAAUUGCAGUACAAAUAUUUGGCGAGGCUUUGAAGGAACCCGAAUGGAAAUCGAACUUAACUAAUGCCUAAAGAAAAUUUAUAUAUAUACUGUAUGUAAAAUAAACAAGUAAAAGAUGCUCUCAAUCAUUGCGGAGAACUGAUAUUUCAAUUCUCAUAUGUUUCUCUUAUGGGCUAUAUUAUGAGAAUUUAGUUUUUGCAUAAAUCUCUUUGUAGCUUAUAAAUCUCUUUUUUUUUUUUUUUAAUUCUCUCCAACAAACUGUUUUCUUCUGAUGUAAUGCUGAACAAUUUGAUUUACAUUCGUGAAAUGUAAAUUUUACGCUUGCAUAAUUCCAGUUCGUAUUAUAUUUAGUACGCUUGAUGGCCAUAUAACACCGAUUUUUCAUGCCUUGCUUUCUUAUUUAUCAGUCAGUCUGCCAUGCAUCUACAACAAGUCUUCAUAGUCGUGCUCUCUAUGCUUUCCAUUGGAAAUGCCGAAUAUAUUGCUGAUAAAAAAUCAAACGUUGAUUUUUUAUAUAAAUGUGGAACAUAUCUAAUAAAAGGAAGCAAAUAUAUUAAAAAGGCAGGGCUGCUUCUGCAAAUGACUAGCGAAUCCAUGCGAGGUAUUGCGCCCUUUAAUGCAAAAAUGUAUAUAAACCAGUGGCUAGAAGUGGAUGAUGAAGUACCCCGUAAACCCAGCUACCUCAAAUAUUUCAACCUCUUUUAAAUGAUCUAAAUGGAGCCACGCUAAAAAUAUACAAUAAUAAAAAGAAAAACUAGGUCAAAAACACCUCAACAAACUACUUUCUCUGAGUAUCAAAAUUAAUACCGACAGCCUCUAUUAAAGACAUCA
rnacentral:sRNA from 1 species